AUACACGUGACUAAUGAACGGACGAACGCGAUUGUAAAUUUACUAACCUAAAACACCUGCCGACGGUGACCCAUUUCGGAGCACGACCAACGACGACAUUUUUCAAGAUCCUGGCGCUGCAAAACUUCACCAAAAUACUCGAGCUCAUUUCGAAUAAUGACAAUCCGAUCGGUCAAUAACACAGUGAUCACGACCGUCAAUUUUUGUUUUCCUUCCACCGGAAGAUCAAUAUCCGAAUGAUUCACUCGUCGAGACACGCACCUAUUGCUCGAAGCAAAUAAACGUAAUACAAUGGAAAUAUACGUUAAACUGAGCGAGAACUUGCCCCCGUUGCUCGAAAUUUAUGGAACUUCGACACUGGCGACGAGACGCAAAUCACACAAAAGAUCAACGGACUCUCGACUGGUCCACCAUAAUAUAGAGCGGCAGAUAUUUCGUGCGUCAGAUGGCCAUAUUAAAGAUAAAGGGCCUUUUUCAAGAUUCUAGCACAACAUUAUAGUCAAGAAAACUUUGUUCAAAAGUUCUUAAUUUCUUAACAAUAAGUCAACAACAAAAUAGCACGGUAUUUCGCAAUUAUUUUGGGAAUUGAAAUCCAACUAUAGUUAC